GAUUUCAGUGGUGUGAAGUGCA
rnacentral:miRNA from 17 species